rnacentral:lncRNA from 1 species
GUAUCAUGGACCUAAGGUAUGCCAUCUUGCCCUGUCAGGUGCUUGUUGUUUGUGUUGUUGUCUCUAUUAGCCUUCCAUUGCUUUCAGUAUAUUUUGUUUAUAUUUUGUGCAAUGGGUGCCAAAUAACUGUUGUGCUCUGGGGCGAACGUGCUACAACCUUUCAGGGAGACUACAUUAUCGAGUUGGGCUCGACUGAACCAGUGGUUGCACUAUUUGUUGGAACUCUGGUGAAGGCCUAUGAAGGUAAGAACUCUUGUUAGGUUGACUAGAUGGCUACUCUUUUGCCCAUGUCUGUUUAUGUGACGUGCUAUGUCUUUGGUUGCGGUCUGUAGGUCGAAGGGGUGUGAGCGGAAGUGCAGCGUGUUGGUGGUACAUAAAUGAUGACACUUCUGAGAUGAUAGACUUCCAUAAGAGGUACAUGCUAUCUUUUUUAUCUCCGUGCUAAUCAUGUGCUGUCCUUUGCCUGAUUUGGUUAUAUGCUUAUGUUCUUGAUCUUAUUGCUAAAGGCUCCAGGGCAAGUUCUCUCCUGUAGAAAAGAUUGUCCUCCAGGGACAGACAACAACUAUGCAUUUGCCUUGACCGUAUUGAUCUACUGCCGCAUGUA